GACGAACGCUGGCGGCGUGCCUAAUACAUGCAAGUCGAACGAGUGGCGGACGGGUGAGUAACACGUGGGAACCUACCCAUCAGAGGGGGAGAACACUUGGAAACAGGUGCUAAUACCGCAUACUGCUGGAUGGACCCGCGGUGGAUUAGCUAGUUGGGGAGGUAACGGCUCACCAAGGCCACGAUCCCUAGCUGGUCUGAGAGGAUGACCGGCCACACUGGAACUGAGACACGGUCCAGACUCCUACGGGAGGCAGCAGUGGGGAAUAUUGCACAAUGGGCGCAAGCCUGAUGCAGCCAUGCCGCGUGUGUGAAGAAGGCCUUCGGGUUGUAAAGCACUUUCAGCGGGGAGGCGUUACCCGCAGAAGAAGCACCGGCUAACUCCGUGCCAGCAGCCGCGGUAAUAC
rnacentral:rRNA from 1 species